AAUCAUCGAAUCUUUGAACGCACAUUGCGCCCGCCAGUAUUCUGGCGGGCAUGCCUGUUCGAGCGUCAUUUCAACCCUCAAGCCCGCUGCGCGCUUGGUGUUGGGGACCGGCUCGCCCGCCUCGCGGCGGCGGCCGCCCCUGAAAUGAAUCGGCGGUCUCGUCGCAGCCUCCUUUGCGUAGUAACACACCACCUCGCAACCGGGAGCGCGGCGCGGCCACUGCCGUAAAACGCCCAACUUCUCCAAGAGUUGACCUCGAAUCAGGUAGGACUACCCGCUGAACUUAAGCAUAUCAAUAAGCGGAGGAAAAGAAACCAACAGGGAUUGCCCCAGUAACGGCGAGUGAAGCGGCAACAGCUCAAAUUUGAAAUCUGGCCCCCCGGGGCCCGAGUUGUAAUUUGCAGAGGAUGCUUUUGGCGAGGCGCCUUCCGAGUUCCCUGGAACGGGACGCCACAGAGGGUGAGAGCCCCGUCUGGUCGGAUGCCGAGCCUCUGUAAAGCUCCUUCGACGAGUCGAGUAGUUUGGGAAUGCUGCUCUAAAUGGGAGGUAUAUGUCUUCUAAAGCUAAAUAUUGGCCAGAGACCGAUAGCGCACAAGUAGAGUGAUCGAAAGAUGAAAAGCACUUUGAAAAGAGGGUUAAAUAGUACGUGAAAUUGUUGAAAGGGAAGCGCUCAUGACCAGACUUGGGCCCGGUGAAUCAUCCAGCGUUCUCGCUGGUGCACUUUGCCGGGCUCAGGCCAGCAUCAGUUUGCCCCGGGGGAUAAAGGCUCUGGGAAUGUGGCUCCUCCGGGAGUGUUAUAGCCCUCUGCGCAAUGCCCUGGGGCGGACUGAGGU
rnacentral:rRNA from 1 species